UACGAAGGGGGCGAGCGUUGUUCGGAUUUACUGGGCGUAAAGGGCGCGCAGGCGGCAGAUCAAGUCAGACGUGAAAGCCCCGGGCUUAACCUGGGAACUGCAUUGGUGACUGGCAGGCUUUGAGUGUGGCAGAGGGAGGUAGAAUUCCACGUGUAGCAGUGAAAUGCGUAGAGAUGUGGAGGAAUACCGAUGGCGAAGGCAGCCUCCUGGGCCAACACUGACGCUCAUGCACGAAAGCGUGGGGAGCAAACAGG
rnacentral:rRNA from 1 species